CCUGCACUUUGUAUAAAGAAUCCUGUUAUAGUAUCAUCAGUGUUAACAACAUCCAUGUAGAAAAGACUGAUCUCUGCAAGGGAGUAUAUCUGUAUCAUCUUUUCUUAGGCUUCUUUUACAAAAUAAAGAUUGCAACUAACUAAAGAUACAGCUCGUAAAUUUUCUGAAGUGGAGCAUACAGAAAUUAAUUAUUGCAACAUAAUAUAUUUUCUUCAAUUUCCUUUACAGGAACUGGCCAAAAAGGAUGUUGAUACUGAUACAACUUCCUCGUAGCAACUUCAGUCCUACAGAUUUAUAAGGGGAGGCAACAAUUUUCACUAUUUACCUAGAAACCAUUGACCUAAUUCAAUAUGGGAAGAUGCCACAUGUCACACAAAGUCGCAUACCACAACAAAUCGCUGUAGCAUAGAUUAUCUAUGUCACACCUAAAAAGGAAAUUUCACCAAAGGCACAAAGAAUCACCAGGAUUGCAUGGAAUAUUCAGACACAAUGACGAUAAAAAGCACAAUAGUCCAACAUCUGGAAUUAGGUCAACUGUAGAGAUAUUGUGUACUUGGCUUGAAAAGAUCCUAAAGUGAUUUUGGUAGCCUGUUAUGAAAGACAGUUUGAUUUUCCAGUUCUUGUCUCAGCUCUACUGUGCACAAAAAUAACUAGGACAUUAUUCAGCUGAGUUUCUUCUAAAAAGUAUUCUUUUACUAGUGUUAAAGAAACUGUACCCUAAACAGUCAUAUUUGCUAUGACACUAUUUGGUAUCCGGUACAAUGCCUAUAACUGACAGACAGACAAAUUUACUAUGAAAAACUGGGAAGGCCUGCCAAGGGUUUUCAUGUGUUAAAGAAAAAUUACAAGCAAUGACGUAUACUCAUGAUAAAUUUGGUACCAUAAUGUUCGUUAUCUAAAGUAGAAAAUAACAACUGUAAUUGGAAAUUCGAAUUAUGUUAUUUUACUCUAUAUUUAAGAAAAUUAAUAUAGUCAGACUUGUAAUUUUUUUCAUUUGUUAAAAUGUUAUAUUAUAGCUAUAAGCCUUAAUACCCUUUUUUACAAUCUGCCUAAAGAAACACUUUAGUUGUUCUUGUUUAUUAUUUAGCCAUUUCCUUGAUUAAAAAUACACAACAAACUUCUAGCUCAAGACAUUCCAAGGUUAAGUUAUUACUUUCUUUGAUUUUGCUUAAGUUUGUUAAUUAUUGUUAAAUACUUUUGUUCAAAAUUUAAUAAGGUGUAAAACCUUUAAAUAAUAUCCUUAAGCAACAGAUGUUAUCUUUUAAUAGUAAAGCAAGGAGAAGAAAACCUUUACUGUAAGCUAAUAUAGCUUUCUGUCCAAUGCCUGAAAUGUUUUUAUGCCCCCAGAGGGAGGCAUAUUAGUUUUCAACUGUCCGUCCGUUUGUUGGUUCGUUAGUUGGUUCGUCACAACGUUAACUUUUUGCAUGAUGGCACUUUAUUCGCGAACCACUGCACCCAGGACAUUCAAACUUCACAUGCUGAUAGUACUUAUUGAGUACACGACCCCUACUGACUUUGGGGUCACCAGGUCAAAGGUCAAGGCGCUGCGGGGGGAGGGGGGGCGGGCAUUUGUCACCAUUAGUGACAGCUCUUGUUUGUAAAUAUUUCAUAACUUUAUGAAUAAAAAUGUUUAAUUUAAAACUAUAAGUAAAGUAUAUAAACCCCAAACUUUUAAGGAGCAAGAAGACAAAAUUUCAUUUCAACUCUUGUAUAAAAUUAACUUUGUGAUAAGUUUCUCAGUGAUAUCUAGACUUAUAAUUUUAUAAUUAUCUGUAUAGAUUUUUUGUUCAGUUAAUUCAGGUGUAUACAAGACUUGUAGGCCCAUAGGGCCAGGUGUGUUUAACUGUUAAAUAUUGUAUGUUAUUAUGUUUAUAUGCUCACACAGGUCACAUUAAUAAACAAAUUUCUUAUCUUCUAAAGAUUUUUUUUAUGUUUUAAGCUACCUAAUUAUUUAUAUUAGAGAAAACUGUUGAAUUUUAAUUACUUUAUAAGUGUACAUGUAAAUCCUAUUUCACUAUACUUACAUAUUAUUGAAAGCUAAGGGUCCCCACUGGAAAUAAGUGACAUUGUUACUUUCAUGGUUUAUCCCAGGCAGAAAGAUCAUCAUUUUUUCCUGAUAUUUAUGUAUAAGCUUGAUUACACUUGUAAAGUAUAAACAUAAAAGGGUUUACUGCAUAUUUAUUAAUUCUAAUAUUUUUGAUUUUUGUACCACUUUGUAUUUCUGUUAUAAUUGGAUCUUAUGCCUGAAUAAAAUUGAAUUGAAUUGAACUGAAUUGGAUUUUAAACUGAACUGAAUGAACUUAAUUUUAAACUAAAACUGAACUGAAUUGAAUUUUAAACUGAAACCAAACUGAACUGAACAGAAUUUAGAACAGAAACUGAACUGAAUUUUAAACUGAAACUGAACUGAAUUUUAAACUGAAACUGAACUGAACUGAAUUUGAAACAGAAACUGACCUGAAUUUGAAACUGAAACUGAACUGAACUGAAUAUAGCUGGGUAAAAAACUACAGUACAGCUUGCAUUAAGAAAUCACCAAAGGGAAGGAAAAAACAUGUUCUGUUUAUGCAACAUAGUUUGUUCUUUGAUAACAUAAAAAAAGGAACUGAAAAACUGGUCUCUUAAUGCAAGUAGUUUCUAAAUCAAAUGCACUUGAUGAAACUUACUAUGCUUUUGUGCUGCAAAUUUUGUAAUGUAGUUUUGUUGUGUCUAUGAUGAUUUCUCUAAAUAAACUUUAAACAUUA